rnacentral:tRNA from 1 species
GGUGAGCUGUGGCUCAGUGGUAGAGUAUCUGCCUGUUGUCCAAAAGGUCUCAAGUUCAAUCCCCGGCAUCUCCA